rnacentral:rRNA from 1 species
GUUUCAGCAGCCGCGGUAAUACGUAGGGUGCGAGCGUUAUCCGGAAUUAUUGGGCGUAAAGAGCUCGUAGGCGGUUUGUCGCGUCUGUCGUGAAAGUCCGGGGCUUAACCCCGGAUCUGCGGUGGGUACGGGCAGACUAGAGUGCAGUAGGGGAGACUGGAAUUCCUGGUGUAGCGGUGGAAUGCGCAGAUAUCAGGAGGAACACCGAUGGCGAAGGCAGGUCUCUGGGCUGUAACUGACGCUGAGGAGCGAAAGCAUGGGGAGCGAACAGGAUUAGAUACCCUGGUAGUCCAUGCCGUAAACGUUGGGCACUAGGUGUGGGGACCAUUCCACGGUUUCCGCGCCGCAGCUAACGCAUUAAGUGCCCCGCCUGGGGAGUACGGCCGCAAGGCUAAAACUCAAAGGAAUUGACGGGGGCCCGCACAAGCGGCGGAGCAUGCGGAUUAAUUCGAUGCAACGCGAAGAACCUUACCAAGGCUUGACAUGUUCUCGAUCGCCGUAGAGAUACGGUUUCCCCUUUGGGGCGGGUUCACAGGUGGUGCAUGGUUGUCGUCAGCUCGUGUCGUGAGAUGUUGGGUUAAGUCCCGCAACGAGCGCAACCCUCGUUCCAUGUUGCCAGCACGUAAUGGUGGGGACUCAUGGGAGACUGCCGGGGUCAACUCGGAGGAAGGUGAGGACGACGUCAAAUCAUCAUGCCCCUUAUGUCUUGGGCUUCACGCAUGCUACAAUGGCCGGUACAAUGGGUUGCGAUACUGUGAGGUGGAGCUAAUCCCAAAAAGCCGGUCUCAGUUCGGAUUGGGGUCUGCAACUCGACCCCAUGAAGUCGGAGUCGCUAGUAAUCGCAGAUCAGCAGCCGCGGUGAAUACGUUCCCGGGCCUUGUACACACCGCCCGUCAAAC